AACUGCUGAAGAUAGAACAUGCAGCUAUCGCACCUUUAUGGUUUUAAAGAGAUGUCGGAAACGCCAACCGACCAGCAGUA
rnacentral:ncRNA from 12 species